UACGUGGGGUGCGAGCGUUAUCCGGAUUUACUGGGCGUAAAGCGUACUGUCGGCGCUUUAGUAAUUCUUCUGUCCAAGCCUGGGGCUUAACUCCAGAAAGGCAGGGGAAACUAUUAGAAUUGAGUCUGUUCGAGGAACCUGGAAUUCUCGGUGGAGGGGUGAAAUCCGUAGAUAUCGAGAGGAACGCCAAGUGCGAAGGCAGGGUUCUAGGACAUGACUGACGCUCAUAGACGAAAGCUAGGGGAGCAAAAGGG
rnacentral:rRNA from 1 species